rnacentral:rRNA from 1 species
GACAGAGGAUGCAAGCGUUAUCCGGAAUGAUUGGGCGUAAAGCGUCUGUAGGUGGCUUUUAAGUCCGCCGUCAAAUCCCAGGGCUCAACCCUGGACAGGCGGUGGAAACUACCAAGCUGGAGUACGGUAGGGGCAGAGGGAAUUUCCGGUGGAGCGGUGAAAUUCGUAGAUAUUCGCAAGAACACCAACGGCGAAAGCACUCUGCUGGGCCGACACUGACACUGAGAGACGAAAGCUAGGGGAGCGAAUGGG